rnacentral:rRNA from 1 species
AAUCAACGCUGGCGGCGUGCCUCAGACAUGCAAGUCGAACGAUUAAAGCUCUCUUCGGAGAGUGUAUAGAGUGGCGCACGGGUGAGUAACACGUAAGUAAUCUACCUUCGAGUGGGGAAUAACAACCGGAAACGGUUGCUAAUACCGCAUAAUGCAGCGGCACCGCAAGGUGACAGUUGUUAAAGAUUUAUCGCUUGAGGAGGAGCUUGCGGCAGAUUAGCUAGUUGGUAGGGUAACGGCUUACCAAGGCUACGAUCUGUAACCGGUCUAAGAGGACGGUCGGUCACACUGACACUGAAUAACGGGUCAGACUCCUACGGGAGGCAGCAGUCGGGAAUUUUGGGCAAUGGGCGAAAGCCUGACCCAGCAACGCCGCGUGAAGGAUGAAGUAUUUCGGUAUGUAAACUUCGAAAGAAUAGGAAGAAUUAAUGACGGUACUAUUUAUAAGGUCCGGCUAACUACGUGCCAGCAGCCGCGGUAAUGUCUGUACU